rnacentral:rRNA from 1 species
GACGAACGCUGGCGGCGUGCCUAAUACAUGCAAGUAGAACGCAGUUGCGAACGGGUGAGUAACGCGUAGGUAACUGCCUGGUAGCGGGGGAUAACUAUUGGAAACGAUAGCUAAUACCGCAUACUACCAGCUGGAUCUGCGUUGUAUUAGCUAGUUGGUGAGGUAACGGCUCACCAAGGCAACGAUACAUAGCCGAGCUGGGAGGGUGAUCGGCCACACUGGGACUGGGGAAAGGCCCAGACCCCUACGGGAGGCAGCAAUAGGGAAUCUUCGGAAAUGGGGGGAACCCUGACCGAGCAAAUCCGCGUGAGUGAAGAAGGUUUUCGGAACGUAAAGCUCUGUUGUUAAGGAAGCGGUACUUAACCAGAAAGGGACGGCUAACUACGUGCCAGCAGCCGCGGUAAUUC